GACGAACGCUGGCGGCGUGCCUAAUACAUGCAAGUAGAACGCACAGUUUAUACCGUAGCUUGCUACACCAUAGACUGUGAGUUGCGAACGGGUGAGUAACGCGUAGGUAACCUGCCUGGUAGCGGGGGAUAACUAUUGGAAACGAUAGCUAAUACCGCAUAAUAUUGAUUAUUGCAUGAUAAUUGAUUGAAAGAUGCUAUUGCAUCACUACCAGAUGGACCUGCGUUGUAUAGCUAGUAGGUGAGGUAACGGCUCACCUAGGCGACGAUACAUAGCCGACCUGAGAGGGUGAUCGGCCACACUGGGACUGAGACACGGCCCAGACUCCUACGGGAGGCAGCAGUAGGGAAUCUUCGGCAAUGGACGAAAGUCUGACCGAGCAACGCCGCGUGAGUGAAGAAGGUUUUCGGAUCGUAAAGCUCUGUUGUAAGAGAAGAACGGGUGUGAGAGUGGAAAGUUCACACUGUGACGGUAUCUUACCAGAAAGGGACGGCUAACUACGUG
rnacentral:rRNA from 1 species